GGGAUCAAUGAUGACCACUGGUGGCGUAUGAGUCAUAUACGAUGAAUACGUGUCUGAAACUCUGAGGUCCAA
ensembl:snoRNA